rnacentral:rRNA from 1 species
GACAGGGGCUCGAGCGUUAAUCGGAAUCACUGGGCUUAAAGGGUGCGUAGGCGGGCCAGUAAGCGUCUUGUGAAAUCCCCGGCUCAACCGGGAACCGCGGGGCGAACUGCUGGUCUAGAGGAAGCUAGAGGCGGGUAGAACGAGUAGUGGAGCGGUGGAAUGCGUAGAUAUCUAUCGGAAUGCCGAAAGUGAAGACAGCCCGCUGGGCUUUCCUGACGCUGAGGCACGGAAAGCGUGGGGAGCAAACGGG